AGUGAACGCUGGCGGCGUGCUUAACACAUGCAAGUCGAACGAGAACGGAUUAUAGCUUGCUAUAAUUGUCAGCUAAGUGGCGCACGGGUGAGUAAUGUAUAGGUAAUAUGCCUCUUACUAAGGGAUAACAAAUGGAAACGUUUGCUAAUACCUUAUACUCCUUAUUAACAGAAGUUAAUAAGGGAAAGAUUUAUUGGUAAGAGAUUAGCCUGUAUUGUAUCAGUUAGUUGGUGGGGUAAUGGCUUACCAAGACUAUGACACAUAACUGGUUUGAGAGGAAGGACAGUCACACUGGAACUGAGACACGGUCCAGACUCCUACGGGAGGCAGCAGUGGGGAAUAUUGCACAUGGACGAAAGUCUGAUGCAGCAACGCCGCGUGGAGGAUGACACAUUUCGGUGCGUAAACUCCUUUUAUAUGAGAAGAUAAUGACGGUAUUAUAUGAAUAAGCACCGGCUAACUCCGUGCCAGCCGCCGCAGUAA
rnacentral:rRNA from 1 species